CAGAGGGUGCAAGCGUUAAUCGGAAUUACUGGGCGUAAAGCGUGCGUAGACGGUUACGUAAGUCAGAUGUGAAAGCCCCGGGCUCAACCUGGGAAUUGCAUUUGAGACUGCGUAGCUAGGGUGCGGAAGAGGGAAGCGGAAUUUCCGGUGUAGCGGUGAAAUGCGUAGAUAUCGGAAGGAACACCAGUGGCGAAAGCGGCUUCCUGGUCCAGCACCGACGUUCAGGCACGAAAGCGUGGGGAGCAAACAGGAUUAGAUACCCUGGUAGUCCACGCCAUAAACGAUGAGGACUAGACGUUGAGAGGGUAAGCCUCCCAGUGUCGCAGCUAACGCGAUAAGUCCUCCGCCUGGGGAGUACGGCCGCAAGGUUG
rnacentral:rRNA from 1 species